rnacentral:rRNA from 1 species
GCAAGUCGAACGAUAAAGCACCUUCGGGUGUGAGUAGAGUGGCGCACGGGUGAGUAACACGUAGUUAACCUACCCAUUGAUGGGGGAUAACCAGGAGAAAUUCUGGCUAAUACCGCAUAAGUUGGUAACAAGAAAGGAUGCUUCGGCAUUCGUCGAUGGAUGGGCCUGCGUAACAUUAGCUUGAUGGGGGGGUAAUGGCCUACCAUGGCUACGAUGUUUAGCUGGUCUGAGAGGAUGAGC